GUAGCACAUGUUGCAGCUGCUGGAGAAUUUAAUAACAAUGUUCCUUAUCUGAGAGUGCACAAUGUGGCUGAAAUUAAGGUAAUGCCUAUAGUGCAGGAAGAGUCAAAGAUUGUCAAACAGACUUCGCUUCAAAAUGAACAAAGGCGGUCGAUGAGAAAUAAAUGCGGAGAAAGUACACUGAAGCUUACUGAUUUCCUUUGACCACUGAAGAUUUCCUUCCUGCCUUUUUAUAGGCUUCCUCUGAAUCUCAGUCCUCCGCUCUUUUCGAGACGGUAUGGGACUUCAACUGCUGCGUUAUGGGCAAAACAUGGGAUCUAGCGUGUUAUGCCACGGUUCAGGGGAAAGCGUGGCUGCCACGGCUCUGUGAGACCUUGCGUGUUACGCCACGGUUCGGGGGAAAGUGUGGCUGUCAUGGCUCUCGGGUCUCCUCGACGACAACAUCGUGGACGAGCAGGAUGUUUCUGAUCCUGUUCUUCCACGCGCUAGGCUUUAACGGAACACAUCGGUUCGCAGAACUCCGCCAUCAGAUGUCUGCUCGUCAUUCCUGGUCCCUUCGACGCAUUUGUCCCAAACAGUAUCCCUCCCAAACAACUAACAUAUUAUUUUCUGUUUGGAUUCUAAUUACUGAAUAUUAUUUGAGUCUACGUUCAAAACCAUGCAUGCUGAGUGUUGGAUAAUCAGGAAAAUAAUACUACUAUGUUUCAAUUUUUUAUUUUUUUUUGGGUUAAUUUAUAUGCAUAUAUAAUUUGACAGCUGAUGAGUUUUCAGUUGAGCUAGCUGAAGGGCUUGCUUUUGUUGCUGCUCGUGAUGAUGAAUCCAAACUCUUUAUGGUAGUUUUACUCUCUUUCAAGGUUUGUGAACAAUUUAUACUUGGCGAUGAUUGAUUCUUCAAGUAGCAAUUAUUUCAUACUCCUUGUUUGGCAUUCUUCAUUGUAUUAUAGUUUAUGGAGAAAGAAGUGAAGAGGUUGAAAAGAAUAGUGAAGCUUGCACUUGGAAACUCAAGUGCACAAGAAUCACCUCUUACGUUACAGAUUGCUAAUUUUCAUUUACUUUCAAGCUUUUUAAAAAUUUUUUUUUUCACUUUCUAAUCCAUAGAAACUAACCAUAACAGGGUUUUGUAACUGAUAGACCAGAUUACCGCAAGCACAUAAAUCCUCUAAUGGCAGUGUUGCAUUUUUCGGCCUCUCUAAAUUUAUAGGUUAGCAAUACUUGCUAAAUUUAGAAUCCAACUCCUGCUGUUGACUUCAAAUAUUAGCAUAUUUUCUUAUUGAUACAAAAUAUUGCUCUAAUGAUUAUUAUCCAUUCCAGUCUCAUAUUUUGUCAGGCUUCUUAAGCAUAUCUUGGAUAUAAUACUUAUGCUUAAUUCUAUACAAACUGAUUGUCGAAAUAACAUACUAUUAUACUAGUUACUGAUUUGAUAAUUUACUGAUUAAUAUUUCUUCGUUGAUCUAGGAUAUUAUUUGGUAUACUAAUGAUGAUGUGGGGAUGGAGCAGAUUCAUAUUUCUUGAUUCAUAUAGGAUAUUAUUUGGUCGAAUGAAGAUGAUGAUGGGAAUGAAGAAGAUGAGGUAGAGGCAAACGUAGGUCUCAGAGACUAAAGAACAUGUGUUGGAGGAUGCUUGAAAUAAUUCAUGCUAUGAAAUCAUUUUGCGU
rnacentral:lncRNA from 1 species